GGUCCUAUGGCUUAGAAGGCAAAGCGCCUGCCUAGUAAGAAGGAGAUGAUGAGUUCGAGUCUCGUUGUGACAU
rfam:Daphnia pulex DAPPTscaffold_238_Cont7633, whole genome shotgun sequence.